rnacentral:rRNA from 1 species
GACGAACGCUGGCGGCGUGCUUAACACAUGCAAGUCGAACGGAAAGGCCCUGCUUUUGUGGGGUGCUCGAGUGGCGAACGGGUGAGUAACACGUGAGUAACCUGCCCUUGACUUUGGGAUAACUUCAGGAAACUGGGGCUAAUACCGGAUAGGAGCUCCUGCUGCAUGGUGGGGGUGGGAAAGAUUCGGCGGUUGGGGAUGGACUCGCGGCUUAUCAGAUUGUUGGUGGGGUAGUGGCUUACCAAGGCUUUGACGGGUAGCCGGCCUGAGAGGGUGACCGGCCACAUUGGGACUGAGAUACGGCACGGACUCCAACGGGAGGCAGCGGUGGGGAAUAUUGCACAAUGGGCGGAAGCCUGAUGCAGCAACGCCGCGUGCGGGAUGACGGCCUUCGGGUUGUAAACCGCUUUCGCCUGUGACGAAGCGUGAGUGACGGUAAUGGGUAAAGAAGCACCGGCUAACUACGUG